CUUUUAGAAAAGACACUCACUGCCCAGUUGUGUUGAUACCUCAGGAACUCAGAGAAGAAGCCAAAGAGAAGCAGGUAUUUGGAGGAAAUGAAAGAUCAGGCUGAAUGAAGAAAUCCAUUCAUCUUCCUUUACAAACUUCUGCAGGGAGCUAUGGUUGGGUGUGUCCCUGGCACCUGCAUGUUGAGAGUUUACUCCCCAAAGUCCAUGGUGUUUGGAGGUUAAGGUCCUUGAAGGGUAACCAGGAUUAGAUGAGAACGUGAGGGUAGAGUCUCUGUGAUGUCUUUGGUUAUUUUAUUUGUUUAUUUAUUUUUUGUUAAAAUUUACUUAUUUGCAAGGGAGAGCAACAGAGAGAGGGACACACACACACACACACACACAAACACACAGAUCUUCCAUUUGCUGGUACACUCCCCAAAUGCCCACAACACCCAAGGGAAGGGCUGAAGCUGGAGUCCAGAACUCAUCCAGGUCUCCCAUAACUAGAACUUGAAUUCCAAGCUUAGAAAAAAGAUUGCAUUUUCAAUUCACUUUUGCAGCGAGGUGUGGCUACAGGACUGCGCUUGAGGUGGUAAAAGAAGUUGAAUUAUAGUAAGAGCUUCUAAGCUGCUCAAGGGCAGCGCCUCAGCUUCCACGGGCUCCCUUUUUGCCCCUCUGCCUGCCUAUCUUCCGGCCUUCACCUUGAAGAUGAUGGUUGUGGCUCCAGCAGCAUUCUAAUACCUGAAGCUACAAACCAUACCCUCAGAACAGCUGUACAAAGACAGCAGCCUGUGUCUCAGAGGACAUACAGAACUGCUGUCUGUUUCAGCCUCAUCCUGUUCGCCACCAGGACUCUACAUGACAGUGAAAUCAACUUUUUCUGGGUUUAAGCCACUGUAGGAAACAUCUUAAUCCCCAAAUCUGCAAUCUGAAAUGCUCUGAAAUUUGAAUCGCUUACUGUCCCGAGUAUUUCAGACAGUCAACCUGGACCUUGAUUUCUGCUACAUGCACUUAACCUCUCCUGAGGCAACACUGCUAGAUUCUGUACGGAAUGAUUGACUGAUGGAUUACUCACUUGAAUAUUUAUUGAGUCUGUACUUGGCAGUAGGCUCUGAAGAGUUAAAGCAAUUCUUCAGAAUCUUUUCCCCUCUAGGUCACUGGGUCUCUUGGAAAUGAGUUGUGGCUCCAAUAAACUCAAAUGGAAAAUUACACAAAAUGGUGGCUUGCUUUAGAAUGUCCACUGGCUUUUGGAUCUGGGGCUCUCUAAUAAUCUGCAAAUUCCCACAAGUUCAGCAAAAAUAAUGAAGUUGCAAUCUAAGGACUUUUGGUAACGGUAGCAUUGAGGUGGGGCGAGUUCUGGGAACUUAAUUGGAUUUUGCUUCCUGCUUCCUGGCUCUGAAUUCUUCCAUGCCUUCCACCUUUCGUUGGAAAUGACAUCACCUCUCGGGCUCACCAGCCCAAAAUGAGUUGCCCUUUAUCUCUGCAAUUAUGGAUGUUCCUGUAAAGCCUUCUGUCUAAGACACAGAGGAAGCAGAAGUGAAAGGAUGCAAGGACACUGUGAUAACCACAUCAUAUGCGCCCCAUCUUUGAAGUAAAAAAAACAGACCGUCCAGUAAGUUUAUGAAUCCUUUGCUUAGCAGUUGACAGCUCAUGGGCAUAGUUAGGCUGAGUCUCUCUACGCACAGGGAAACUGAGUGUUGAAAUCACAUAGCUUCCGUCACUGGUUCGUGUAACUGAGCCUCAAUUGCAGACUUGGCACUAGGGAUGUGGGCAAGAGGGGACAGCAGCGUCAGCAUGUUUCUUGCCUUGCCUUGCCUUCAUGUUGUUUACAGUGACAGCUCGUUUCUUUUCCCUGACAGAAAUCACUCAAAUUCCAACUCUGUCUUUAAUUCAAACAUGGGCCUUUGUGGUUGAAGUUAGAUCCUCAGAACUGGAGUUGUGUGUAAAACCACCUCAGAUUUGCUUUUGACCCAAGAUAGACUCAUUCUUCAGGCUAAGAAAAACAGAUUUAGGGGCAGGUGUUUGGCCUGGUGGUUAAGCCACUGGUUGGGAUCCUCGCAUCCCAUAUUGAAGCAUUGGGUUAGAGUCCUGGUUCCAUUCCUGGUUUUCCAAGUUCCUGCUAAUGUGUAUCCCGGGAGGCAACAGUGAGGAUUCAAGUAGUUGGGUCUCUAGUACGCAUGGGGGCGAUCCAGAUGGAAUUCCUGACUCCCAUCUGGUAUUUGAAGAGUCAGUCAAUGGUUAGGAGCUCUGUCGUCUGUCUGCCUCUCAGAUAAACUAAACAAAUCUUAGAAAGAAUUAGACAUAUUCUCUUUGUAUAAGACACCUCUAGGUUUCUUUUUCCCAAAGAAUGCCCCCAGCUUACUUUCACAUAAGCCACGUUAUAUAUCCUUAUAGCAAUAGGACAUAAGCAAGGUGUGAGCCAUCCUUGGAGAGAGCAGCUCAGUGAACGUUUACUUCUCCAGGAACGCCCCUUCCAUUUAAAGCCUGAUGUGUGACAUUACUGGGGCAAAUGCGCAGAAUUCUUCCCUUCCCUUACUUUCAGAGGAUCCUUGCAUAUUCACUGUCAAUCAUACCUAUAAGGCAGGUUUUGUUGUUGCUGUUGAUUGUUUUAUUCUUCAAUAUCUGGAGUAUAAUUGAAAUAAAAUAUGGGUCACUGAAUAAAUGGCCUGAGACUUGUAUUUUUCCUUCAACAGCAGCCCUUUGAUGUAUUCAAAUUUAUCAAUAAUAGAUUAAGCACAUUACCAUUUUACCUAUUUUCUAAAGCCUCAAAACAGCUUGAAUCUUAAAAAAAAAUCUACAGAACUACAUUGAUGCGUUUGAAUUUCUUUUGAAUAGUAUGAAUUCGACAGGUUAACGUUUCUUUAGAGUUCUGAUAUGGGGGAAGUUAAGUUUAAUUGAUCUGAGAAAAACAAAGCGAAGCAGAGUUGAAUAGCCAAAUAAAAAGGGCGUGCUUCUCUUUUAAGGGAGAAGACUGGAAGUCAGAGCAAGAGUUGUAUUUUCCAGUUCAUUUGGUUUCUCUUCCUCCCUCCCCAGGCCCAAUCUAAUUUAUUUUUGCAUUAAAUAAUUCAGCUCCUCUCCCUUUGUAAUGGGUUGUAUUUGGGGAGAUGAAGACAAACUGCUUAGACCUUGAAAAACACAUGGGCUCCUCGCUUAGAUGGCAUCUGUGAGGACUCAGAACUCCCUCCACAUUCUAUAGGGAAAAAACAGAGCCAGGUGCAUUUCUUCCCAAAUCAAAUUAGCCGCAAGAUGCCACAUCCAAUUGUGGCAAAUUGAUGUGAGAGUUUGUGAUGUCUGCGGCAGCUCUUACAGCAAAGGUCACCACGCAGAGACUCAGACACCAGGCGGGGGUGCAGCCACUGGUGGUAGAACCGCUCCGACAAUAGCAGGGAAGAUGUAAAAUGCAAUCAGCUUUUUGAAAAUUGCAAGAGA